CUUGAAUAUAUUAAUGAAUGUGUAUGCGGAAUAUGAGUAUAUAUUUAAGAAAAAAACAAUACAGUAGCAGCAGAAAAAGAAUGUGAGCUGGCGUGGCAGAAAAUUGCUGACCGAGUCAAUGCGUGCAACCCAACAGGCACAACAUGUACUUGGCAGAAACUGAAUAUGAAAUAUAAAAAUUUCCUUCAAACAGAUUUGACCUCCAUUAUUGCCAAUACAAAAAAGGCUGAGGGAUGAAAAACCAGUGGGGGCCCUCAAUCAAAACAGUGGGUGACCUAUUGCUGAAG